CUCAGGUGCAAAGCAAGGGGGAGAAAUGGGAGGCAACAAAAAGAAAGAAACAAAAGAGAGAAGUGACGCAGCAGAAUUACUAGGAGGGAAAAAGUGAUUAAAUAAUUCCACUGAGCAGAAGCUGAGGCUCACCAAAGCAGCGUGCCAAGCACUGAAAUGCUUCUUCUGAGGCAUCAGUUUAAAGAAAACCCAGAUUCCCUUGUGCAGAAGGGAGUAGAGCAAACUGCACAUGAUGGAAAGAGAAGAGAUGCUGCAGCUGAGGAGCCAAGAUAUGUGGAUGCCUGUAAACUUCAAGAAACACUUGUCAAGCCCCACUGCAACAUCCAGUCAUCAAUUUAAUUUACAUUGCAUUAUUCAUUAGAUAUUCAGAGAGAGCAACAGAGUGGAAAGAACUGGAAAUCUGUAUUAGACCUAAAUAAACCCAUCUAAAAAUUCACACCCAAGAGAUUUCUCGACUGAGAAAGAAAAAAAAA